rnacentral:lncRNA from 1 species
GUAGGAGAUAAUUUCAUCAUGGGGGCUGUUGUGCUCAUGCAGUUCUCAUGAUAGUGAGUGAGUUCUCACGAGAUCUGAUGGCUUUAUAAGGGGGAUUUCCCCUCUUUUUCUCUGUACUUCUCUUUGUUGCCACCAUAUGAAGAAGGUUGUGUUUGCUUCCCCAUCCACCAUGAUUGUGAGUUUCCUGAGACCUCCCUAGCCAUGCGGAGCUCUUUGUUGACAGACAAACUUCAAGGCUUAGAAAAACAGCUCUCCAAACACUCUUCUGGGAUUUCACUGAUGAGCAAGAGGUGUGAACAACAGAAGCAAAAACACAACCAGAAUAAUCUCCAAGAAAUCCGAUGAAAAAUGCAACCUGAUCCAAACCAAAGUACCCCGUACUUUCCCCUUCUUCAUUAGCCAGUACAGCUACAAUCUUACUUUGAUCUGGGGAGUCACCCAUUCUUGAGAUACUCACUGAUUAUUUCAGAUGAAUAAAAUCUCGUAAUUCCAUA